UACCAACAAACCGGGUCAGGUACAGGACAACUUUCGGACGCGCGGGAGGGGAUCGCGGGCUGACGAGAGAGGUUAGUUGGUUUGACAAGAGGGAACCGAAAACACGGUUGGUCUCGGAACGGUCAACGAAGACAAGGAGGAACGCGGCAACUACGAACGAAAGCAAGAUUUAAAAACAAAGACGGUAACGAAUGCCGAUGCAAUGCAGAUGAUGCCAUGAUGAAAUGCAACAAACAAAAAUAAAACACACGGCGACAACAAGGUAGCUGGAAGACUUCUGGAGCGUCGGUCUUGGGGCGUUACAACACUCCACCACCACAAGAGGAUCUCGUCCCGAGAUCUAGGAUGGCACCGGAAAAAAACGGAAGAGGAAGAGAAGAGGUAAAGCUAAGUUGCUUCUUUGACAAACGAGUGAAACCAUGAACCUUGAGAGAUUGAACGAACGAAAAGAGAGAAUACAAGGGAGAUGAACGAGAUUGAAAACACUCCGUUAUCAAAGAGGAACAAGGAACAUUGCGAGAACCUUUGUAGGUUGAAGAAUAUGAAACAAGAGCUUAACGGAUCAAAAGGAAUAUGAAAGCACACUGGUAGAAAAGAGAAACAAGGAACAAGAAUGACAUAAUUUGGAUAGCACUCCGAUAGAAAAUGGAAGGAAUUAACAUGAACUUGAGAAGAUGGGAUGAUACUUGAUGAAAUCAACAACACACUGCCUCCGGAACUAUUGAAAAAGAGAAGGAAAACUUGAUAAGAUGAAAAGAAAUUGAGGAGAUGACACAACACUCCAGUUAAAUGGAUAAGCAAGGAAAGAAGAUGAUCUUGACAAAACAAGAAGAUGGGUCGAAGAGAGCAAUAUCACAAUGCCUCCGGUAGAAAUGAAAGAAUGCAAUGAAAAGAACGGAGAAGAAAACAACAUGUUCUACCUUAAGUGAAUUUGAGAGAGCAUCCUUAAAAGAAGGAUAGAACGGAGUUGUUGAAAAAUCAACAAAGAAAGGAUAUGAUCUUCGUGGGCUUAUGGAGACAUCUCAAAACUUGAGGUGAAAUUCUGCCACUAACGAAAACAAUUGCUUGCUUGAGAUCAACGAAGAGAUGAAAACUUCUCUCGCCGAGAGGAUAGGAGAAAACUUGGAUCAUUGAUAGACACCACAAUUAGCAACAUUCCUUCGAGAAGGCUUUAAGUGAAAUCUAUACCAAGAUAACUCCAACAAAGAGAUUAAAGGAUUGAAAAGAUCUCGUGAACGAAUUGAAAUUGAUGGUUUUAAAAUAUGUCAUUCCGGACAACUUGUGAAUCAUGAACCAUGAAGGGGGAUUGUCAAGAAUGAUAUAACACCAUCUCAAACGAUAAGGUAGAAAGAAUUGCACUUCAGAAUGCACGAUGAAGAAUGCUUGGACUCCACAAAACAAAACAUGUGUUGAACACCAUGUUUAUUUUAGAAUAUAGCUUGGCGGAUCUUAACUCCGAGAAAAAUCUUGAAGAACAAUUGAAGAAUGAAAAGAAUCCUUGAUGAAACACCAUGUAGAGCCUCCAUGAAGAACUCCGGUAAUAAAAGGAUGAUAGAAAGAAAGAGAAGUUGAAAACACAAGGUGAAACCUUGCGAUGAUUUAGAUGGAGCUUCGUGACGAGAUAAUGCAGAAAGCUUGGAACUACGGAAAAAAAAGAUGAACAACUUGGAACCGAGAAUUUGAUAUCAUGAACGAACUCCGGAAGAAGGAAUUAAUCACUUGGAGGAAACAAGAAUAAGAAUUACAGUACGCGUAUCCUUCACCAAUUUAGAUUGAUGACAAACAACGGAUUUGGCAUACUACUUAUUCUCAUAGAAAGGAUUAAGAUAGAUAUUGCGCAAACUUGAGAAGGACUUCAACGAACCACCGGUAACAAUGGAAGAGAAUUUGGAAAAGAACGAAUCAAUUGAUAUGAUAAAAACAGAAGAGAAUUCUUGAAUGAACCACCGUAAGAAUUGAAAAUGAAAGUAGCAAAGGCACAAUUCACCAAGAAGAAUUGGAAAACGAAUGAAGAUACUUGAGGGUAUUUAGAUACAUGAGAACGAAGAGGUCAAGAGCUGACUAGAGGAUACUUGAACGAUUCACCGGUAAGAUUUGGAGAACGAGAGCUGAAAGCUGUGAAUGAAUACUUCUGAGAUGAUGGCUCCGGAGAAUCAAGCUGAAAAGACUCCUGAAUUGCUCCGGAUGGGUGAAAAGAAUUCUCACAAUCAAAACAAUUAUGAGAGGAUGACAACAAAUUAGAACCAUGAAUCUUUGGAAGAACGGGUAAGGAUUUAAGAGGAAAUCCUCUUCGGUCUUCAAAUUCCGAGAAUGACGACGAGAAAUACCACCAAAAUUAUUGAGACACUCCGGAACAAUGGAUAAUAGAAAUGAUGAACCAACGAUGAAAGAAUUUCAAAGAUCUUGGAGAAAGACAUAUGACUGAUGAAAAUUCAUUCUUACGUCAAACUUUGCAAUGAAUUUGAGAAUAACUCUGAAAAGAAUUAGAAGAGUCAGGUAAAAUCCUGGGAAAAGACCUGUGGGUUACGGCCCACUCAAAAGAAACACCGUUGAAAUGAUUACUUGAAAAGGAGAUAGCACCGGUUGAAUUAAAUGGCUUGAAUGAGGUAACAACCUCGAAAUAGUUAGAAUUGAUGCGGAGUGGAAACACGAAUCUUCAGAGAUAUCUUCAGCACUCCGGAACAAUUGAAUAGUAAGUGGGGAAUGAUUAAGAGAUAUACCGGCAUGAGAAAGCAUUUGAAAUGAGGAAAAGAAUACGAUCAACACUGAAAGCUUGACUUGAGUCCACCGGAGAAGAAAAGAGAAUGAUGAACUUGAAGCUCCGUUAGUAUCUUCAUGGGAAAUCACCGGAUAAGAACAUUGAAAGAAAAGAAUGAAGAGACUUCGCAUCAAUAAAAAGGAUACUUGAUUAAGAAAUCUGAGUCCUUGAAGAAAAGGGUGGGAGGGUGGGAAACAAAAGCAACUUGGGUCGGAUGAAACGGACACCGUUGAGAAAAAGCUUAGAAUUGAUCUUGCGAAUGUUGGAAUGAUCGGAUUUACUUGAAGAGAAGCACAUCGGUUGGAAAAGAAUUAACAUGACAAUCUCGAUGGUCAAGAAGGAUUGGUAUUCACAUAGAAGUAUGAGAACACCGCUUAGGAAAGGUAGGGAAUCAACACUUGACAUUGAAGCAACUCGAAUACCACAAAACAAAACAAAAACAAAGGAUUUGGCUUGCAGAAUAAGCCAGAAACAAACAUAUGAUAGAUCCCAUAUCGUAUCAUGUGUGUGUUGGAAAGAUAUCCUACGAGAUACUUGAAUUCCCACUUAUAAACUCCCGAAACUUUCUGGUUAUGCAAUCUGGUGUUGGGGAUACAGGGGACACAAUAUAUCUCACCCAAACUAACAAUACCUAGAUCCAGCUGUAUCCAUCCUUCAACACAUAACCAAGAAACCUUCGGAAAUCAUUUACCUCAACCUUCGAAAAGCAUCCGUUAUACGAGUUAUGGCAAUACUCCCGAACUCCCGCCCCAGUACUGGGUGGCGUCGAGGUGAUCUCAUGACCAACUGCAUAAAAGAGAUUUUCGAUGUCGGCGAAACUCAGGUAUUCCAGAACUGCAACGAUAAAAUUGUGACGACAACACCUCGGAGCUCAACUCCCCGGGACACUGCCACAACCCCUAAAUGUCAGGAGGCACCAAGAACAAUGUUCUCGUCACAAAACCAUCAGAACGAUUCCAAGAUACCCGCGUGGUCCUAAAAAAAAUUUAGUGAAAUUUGGGGAGAGGGGAGUCAAAACAUCUACGUCAGGAGUCCUCACCAGAGCGACGAAGGGACUGAGGAGUAAAAAGAAUCCUACUCUCCGAUAUAUAUAAUCCUGAGACUCAAAACACUUUUGUUCUAGACUCAACAACGUCAGCGAUUCGAUCAAGCAGGGGGCUCCUAAGCCGGGGAUGGCUCUGAUUACCAACUUGUAACACCCACGAUGCGGCUAUACCUCCCACGUGUCGAGGCACGACUUAGAGGCAUGACCGCAUUGUAGGUUUUGUCGCAAGAAGGGUCAUCUUCACACAAUCCCAUGUAAUGAACAAGAAUGGGAUAAAGAGAGUUGGCUUACAAUCGCCACUUCACACAAUACUUAAAUAAAUCAUACAUCAAUCAGAGUACACACAUAGACCGAUUACGGUCAAAGCCAAAAGAAAGAAGAUAACCCAACUGCUAGGUCCCCGAUCGUCCCAACUGGGCUCCACUACUGAUCAUCAGGAAACGAAACAUAGUAACGACCAAGGUCCUCGUCAAACUCCCACUUGAGCUCGGUUGCAUCACCUACACUGGUAUCAUCGGCACCUGCAACUGUUCGAAAGUAUCUGUGAGUCACGAGGACUCGGCAAUCUCACACCCGCGAGAUCAAGACUAUUUAAGCUUAUGGGUAGGAAAGGGGUAAUGAGGUGGAGCUGCAGCAAGCACUAAGCAUGUAUGGUGGCUAACAUACGCAAAUAAGAGCAAGAAGAGAAGCAACAGAACGGUCGUCAACUAGUAAUGGUCAAGAAGUGAUCCUGAACUCCUACUUACGUCAAACAUAACCCAAAAGUCGUGUUCACUUCCCGGACUCCGCCGAAAAGAGACCAUCACGGCUACACACGCGGUUGAUGUAUUUUAAUUAAGUCAAGUGUCAAGUUCUCUACAACCGGACAUUAACAAAUUCCCAUCUGCCACAUAACCGCGGGCACGGCUCUCGAAAGUUUAUGCCCUGCAGGGAUGUCCCAACUUAGCCCAUUAUAAGCUCUCACGGUAAACGAAGGAUAUUCCUUCUCCCGGGAAGACCCGAUCAGUCUCGGAAUCCCGGUUUACAAGACAUUUCGACAAUGGUAAAACAAGUCCAGCAAGACCACCCGAAUGUGCCGACAAAUCCCGAUAGGACCUGCACAUAUCUCGUUCUCAGGGCACACCGGAUGAGCAGUCCGUACAACUAAAACCAGGCCUCAAGUUUCCCCGAGGUGGCGCUGCAAGGGGCUCUAGUUUGGACCAACACUCGGAGAAGCACUGGCCUGGGGGGGUUAAAAUAAAGAUGACCCUUGAGUCUGCAGAACCCAAGGGAAAAGGCUUAGGUGGCAAAUGUUAAAACCAAGGUUGGGCCUUGCUGGAGGAGUUUUAUUCAAAGCGAACUGUCAAGGGGCUCCCAUAAAUCACCCAACCGCGUAAGGAACUCAAAAUCAAGGAACAUAACACCGGUAUGACGGAAACUAGGGCGGCAAGAGUGGAACAAAACACCAGGCAUAAGGCCGAGCCUUCCACCCUUUACCAAGUAUAUAGAUGCAUUAAUUAAGAUAAGAGAUAUUGUGAUAUCCCAACAUAUCCAUGUUCCAACAUGGAACAAACAUCAUCUUCACCUGUAACUAGCAACGCUAUAAGAGGGGCUGAGCAAAAGCGGUAACAUAGCCAAACAACGGUUUGCUGGGAAAGGUGGGUUAGAGGCUUGACAUGGCAAUAUGGGAGGCAUGAUAUAGCAAGUGGUAGGUAGCGCGGCAUAGUAAUAGAGCGAACAACUAGCAAGCAAAGAUAGAAGUGAUAUCGAGGGUAUGGUCAUCUUGCCUGAAAUCCCGCUAGGAAGAAGAACGAGUCCAUGAAGAAGACAAACGGAUGUAGUCGAACGAAUCCUCACAACUCCAGAACGAAACCGAAGCUAACAAGAGAAGCAAACCGGAAAGAAGCAAACAACAUAGUAAACAACCAUCACAUAAACAUGGCAUGAUGCACAAACAAGUAUGAUGCAUGUCCGGUUUAAUGAGGCAUGGCAUGGCAAAAUGCAACAAACAAUACUACAAAUUCAGUGGAGCUCCAUAUGCAACAAGUUGCAUAUUGAAGAAACACCACAUCAAUUAUUUAGUUCUCUCUCGUUUAUGUACCCCACAAUAUUAAAUAUUGUUAAACAUGGCAAGAGGUGAAACAUAACAAAACUACCUAUCUAGGCAAUUUAAAUGAGGCCGGAAACAACAAACAACAAUUCCGGAAAAUCCCCAUAAGCAUAUUUUUGAUAUGGUACUGUUCUGCCUAAAACCAUAUUUUAUUGUUGUUAAACAGGAAAAUAAAGUGCAACAUGUUAAUCUAUGCAUUUUCCUACCCCAUUUACAUAUCAAGUUUAUUUAAAAUGGAGCUAUGGUUAUUUAGUUAUGAAAUAAAUCAUUUUAACAUGGCAUUCGAGCAAAUUUAAACAAACAGCAUUUUAAACAUGGAUGAGAGUGGCAUAUUAUGAAACUAGAUGAAAUUCUAAGAACUUUUCAUAUAUAAAUUAUUUACAUAUGAUGCAUGAUUCAUUAGUUAUUAGAUGCAUGAACACUAGUGGUUUUUCUGUAAAACUGCACUCUCUGGAUAAUUAGGCAAAUUCGCAGACAGGGAAAAAAUGCUAUCGGGCCGAAACUGAGGCGGACUGGGCCUCACCAGAGGGACUCAGCCCACGCAUUGAAGAGGAAGGCCGUCAGGAGGGCGGCUGGGCCGGCACGGCUUGCGGGCCACAUGCAGAGGAGGCCGCUCGAGGCGAUGCAACUGGAUCGAACGGGCAGGUGGGGGAGGCGCGGUCAACGCAGAAGAAGCAGAGCCCUCGCCACGACUGCGAUGCAGAGGACGCAGGGAGCGGGACUUGGCGCUGGCGUCUCCCGGCGAUGGCCGGCGGCGAGCGGAGCUUGGCAAGGCGGCGACCCAGGUGACGAACUGGAGGAGGUGCUCGGGCGGCUUGGCGAGGGGAGAGGUCAACGCGGGUGUGCGUCUCCUCGUUCGAUGCAGGGUGAAACAAAAGGGCGGAAUGGGCAUCCCGCUUGCUCAUUCGCUCGAACCGAACGAGGCAGAGGCGUGGCUCUCGCCGGGAAGAAGCAGGACGGCGGGGACCCGAGGGCGCAGUGCGUCCAGGUCCGCGGCGGAGCAGGCGGCGUGGUGCGGAUCAGGGUGCAGAAGUGGCGAACGCGGCUGACGAACUCCAUGGCGGGCUAGUUCCUACAGGCCGACGACGGCACGGGGAUUAGAGAGAGAACCAGGGUAAACAGGGUGAGGAGGAGGAGAGGCACGGCCUUGGGACCUGGCGUCCAUGGCGGAGGAGCUUCUGCGGGUGCUCGGGACGGAGUUGGUGGCGUGCGAGGCGGCAGCUGAGGCUGGGCGCGGCGACGAUGUGCUCGGGGACGCGGGGUGCUCGGGGCAUGCUGGUUCCUCGGGCGCGAGGGAUCGAGCGAGGAGGAGGGUUGCGGGAUUGGGUGGAUCGAGGGAAGGAGGUGGUUGGCCCUUGCUGAAAACGAGGGAGGUGGUCGGGUCGGCUGGAUCGGGAGGGAUCCCGAGGAAAACGAAGUGGCAGCGGCGCGAGGGAAGGGUGGAUGGGACAGGCUAGGACUAGGGUUUAGGUUGAUAUAUAUAGCGAGGGGAUUAGGGUAGGGUUAUCUGGACCCUCCGAUCGGAUCGGACGGUCGAGAAUAAAUAGGUAGGGACAGUCUAAAUAAGAAACGGAGAUGUUUUAUAGAUGUUUGGGGAUAAUCCGGACCCAACGGUAACAACAAACUGGGUCGGGUACGGGACAACUUUCAGACGUGCGGGAGGGGAUCGCGGGCUGACGAGAGAGGUUAGUUGGUUUGACAAGAGGGAACCGAAAACACGGUUGGUCUCGGAACGGUCAACGAAGACAAGGGGGAAUGCGACAACUACGAACGAAAGCAAGAUUUAAAAACAAAGACGGUAACAAAUGCCGAUGCAAUGCGGAUGAUGCCAUGAUGAAAUGCAACAAACAAAAAUAAAACACACGGCGACAACAAGGUAGCUGGAAGACUUCUGGAGCGUCG
rnacentral:lncRNA from 1 species